rnacentral:lncRNA from 1 species
UUUUACCCUUGGACUAAGUUAGUGGGAAAAUCCAACAUUUUGUUGGAUAAUCCCACUAACUCUUAGUGGGAUAUGUGGCUAUAUGAGAUAUAGACACCUAGCCCACUAAGUUCCACUAAUUGUUAGUGGAAAAUUAGGUGUUGAGAUUUGGCAAAUGAAUUGCAUGCAUUUUUGCAUGUAAUUAGGCUAUAAAUAGAGAUGUUUUCAAAUGUUGAAGGACUUUUGCCUCUUUUAUCAUUUUCAUAAUCUCAACAAAAGAAAAAAGAAAGCUUCCAAUCUCAUUUUAUCUCCAUUACUUUCUACACCAAAAUUGGGUCCCACAACCCGGUUCUUUGUCUAGAGGAUAACAGUUGAGUACUAGUGGUGGUCUCGGGAAGAAUUGGUAAGAAGACAUCAAACCUUUUGUAAGCUUCAAAGGUAAUACUUCUUAAAACCCUAAUUUGAUUAGUUUAUGGUUACAUGUUAAUUGUGGCAAUUAUGGUAGAAAUUCGAUUCUUUUUCCGCUGUGCAUGACUUAGUUCUAUCAUUAAUAGCUAGUUUAUUUCUUUGAUAUGUUUGAGAAUGAUAUUCCAUAUGUAUAUUUGAUGAGCAUAUACUAUAAUAUUCCGUAUAGUAUUUGACAAAUUUAUGUUAUAGUAAUGAGGUGCUAUUGUGAUAGAGUUAUGCGUGACUUACGUCAUGAAUUGUCACAUAAUUUGGUUAUUAAUUUCAUGAAAUUGAAAGUAUUACUAUUACUUGUAAUCAACUUUUGUCGAUCAGAUUCAUAAAUAUAAGAUUUGUUUCAAAUUUCAUAUGUAGUGAAAAUAUUUUGGCUGGUAACAUUCUACCAUUUUAAUGUUUUUCUUGGGUUGAUUUGUAUUAUGAAUUUGGUUUUCCUAUGGUUUAAGGCUCAACAAUGUUUCGAAGUUUUUUUUGUAUAUGACAUGAGAAUUUGGCAAUUUUAUUUCAUAGCUAUAUUUAGUAUGAUAUUUAAUAUAUGUUUGAUAAGUUUAUGUAAAUUUACUCAUUCAUUUUUUAGAACCAUUUGCACAAUUGCAACUAAGAAACACUACUUGAUGCUCUAUGGUCUAUGUUAUAUACUCAAUACUAGAUACUAGCUACUCGAUGUUCAAUGCUCAUUAGUUGAUGCUCUACGUUUUAUUUAUGUUAUGUAUCUUAUCACUAAAUGUUUGAUACUUAAAGAAAUACAAGAAAAAAAAUUAGAAAUUAAAAAGAAAAAGAAAAAGGAGUAUAAAAAUGAAAGGAGUGAAAAAAAAUUCAAAGAAAGGAUGAAGUAGAAGAAGAAGAAAGAAAAAAAAGAAAAAAAAUUGUAAAUCGUAAAACAAAGAAAAGAGAAGAAGAAAGCAUGUUGGGUGUGUUUGGGGGAGGGAAAGAUUUAUGGGGGAAAAGAAUUAUGAUAAUCCUAUGAUUAUAAUAAUCUUAGUGUUAUGAUAAUAUGUGUUUGUAGUUAGGGUUAUUAUUAGUAGUGUUAUGGUAAUAUGUGUUUGGAGGAAGGAAUAUGAAUGGUAGUAUUAUGUUAGUAUCUAUUUGAGAGAAGGAUUCUUGUUGCAGUAUUAUGAUAAUAUUUGUUUGGGGGAAGAGUUAUGAUUGUACUAUUAUGAUAAUAUGCAUUUGGGGGAGGAUUAUAUAUUUUUUAUAAUUUGUUUUUAUAAAAUAAAGAAUAUUAAAAUACGUAUUUAUUAUUUAUAAUAAAUCAUAUUAUUUUGUUAAAAUAAACAAAAUUAAUAUAUGUAAUUAUAAUACAUCAUAUAAUUUUUUUCAACACAAUUUGCAAUUUUUUGUUAUAGGUCUGAGAUUAGUGAAAAUUUUGUUUUAUAAAGAGCUUAGCGUGAAGGGCCUUUAAUUUUUUUUUUUCCAACCGUGCACAAGUAACGCCUAAAUUAGUUAGAGUAUUGAAAUAAAAGUGAUGCGCUGAAUGAAAUUAGAAAAAACAAAUUCAAUACGUAUGGUCGUUAACAUAAUAGUGAAAUCACAUUACAUUGAUAAAAAUACGAAAAAACAUACAGUACGCAGAUUAAAAAAAACAUACAUAUAAGAUAAUGAAAGAUAAAGCAAACAAAGUCAAGGGUUUUCUUUGAGAAUGACACUGCAAAAUGAGAAUUUCAUUUCUUCAGGUAUAUUAAGGGAUAAUUUCAUAUGGCAUGUAACUAGCAAAUGACCUCUUGUCGUGUUGUGCUCGCAUCUUGCAACUGACCAGUCCGCAAUGCGGUUUAGUUGUUCAUUCCCGUACUGAAUUGUGUUGUGAACUACGUCUCCAGUUUCUACAGACUCUCCUCCAAGUUUCCGAUUAGACCCACUAGAAACAUUUCUAUGUCACUUCCGCGAGCGAUUCAUGUGUUCAUUACUUUGCCAGGUGACAUGUCUAGUCCCUAACUGUACAUUGUAUGGAACCCUAUAUCGUUGACAUCGUCAACAGAAAAUUCCUCACAACCUCUAGGCACAUUCGAACCGACAUUGACAAAGGUCUCCACACGCAUGCCCGUUGCAUGACCUAUGCCAAAGACAUAGGAAAGCUCUUCAUAGUGGGGAAACUAUCUAUGUAAGAGGUCCUUUGCGGCCGGAUGACUUUGUUCAAGUACAAAAUACAAAAAACAUUAUUAGUAUUAUUGUUGCUUAUACUACAAUAACAGAUGAUAUAAAUAAGAUCGUACCUUCACCCAAUCGUCUAACACAUCCUUCCUCGUAAUGAUGCACUUUAGUUCAUCAUUCCACCCAAAGUCGCUACGGGACGGGCCACGCAUCUUUGCUAGAGCGUGGAACGUUCUCUUAAGCAAUUAUAUGCGACUAUCAAUAAUUGUUACCUGGAUGUUACGUCCUCAUUUUUGUGACAAAUGAAAGUGAUAGUCAAACAUGAUGGUUGAAGACCUAAUACAAAAUAAAGGCAAUUAGGUAUGCAACAAAAGACUCUGCACAAGUACACAAUGAACAUCAAACUAUGGACCUAAGUAGAGAGGUACGUGGAAACAUAAGAAAUCAGAACAAACAAAUGGGAGUAUGUGGAAAAAUAAUGAAUCAAAACAAACAGAGGCUAUUACAAAAAAUAAUGAAUCAGAACAAACAUAAAAAGAAAAAAUAGAAAACAUAGUUCAGAAGCAAAAAUCCAUUAAAAAUUGAAGAGGUGAACACAGAAACAUUUUUUCUUUUCCUUUCAAAUUGUAUAGAUGGAAGUAAGAUACGAACAAGGUAUCAAACAAACCAAUCUGAAGACAUACAUGAAGAUAACAUCCAUCAAUAUUUAGUGGAGGGACGGGGGUGGGCGAAACCAAAUGCUAUAAAUUAGAACGAACAAAAUAAGUAUGGAACGAGUAUUUAAAGAACUUAUAAAUCGAGAAAAAAAUAUAUGAUCUUAUAAAACGAGAUAAAUUAUAUGAAAACAAAAUAAAAAGAAGCAAGGAUGAGAAGAUUACUGCAAAUGUGAAAAAUGGAAGCACCAAUGCUACAAAAAUUAAUGCAAAUUUUCAAGAAGAAAAGAGAAUAGGUACAAAUUAUUUUUGUGUUCAUCAUUGGCUACACAUACCUUUUCAAAGAAGCGGUCACCCCUACCAUGCUCCGCCGAUGGUCCUACCAGACUCUUUUGUUCAACGCAUGGUACUUGGGUGUAGCAUCUGUCACUUGAAGCACUGUUGGGUGGAAACGAACAAGUGACAAUGUCAAUAUCAGAGCGACAAGGCACCGUCGAAACAACAAGGGGAAAUCUGACACUUAUGUGUUAGAAUAAAGACCUUAAUCGAAACAUAGAGAGGAUGGAUUUGGUUUCAGAGGCAACGCACGUGAGCGGCAACCCAUCAGCGAAACCACAGGGACGAAACUUUUUUCGUUUCAGAGGCAACAAGCAAAUGCAUCCAUCAACGAAAGAGAAGUUUGGUUUCAAUGAAGGGGAAAAGAAAACAGGGACAUAAACGAAAUGAUGAACAUUUAUGGGAAAAUAACAAUAUGGAUGUAGAUUUGAAGAGAAAAAUAGAAAAACUCAUUCAAUUGUAUAUUUUAGGAAGAGAAAAUGAAAAUGAAAUGGAAAAGGACAAAGAUUACAUCAUAAUGGAAAAGGAAAUCUGACAGAAUAUGAAAGGUUGAAGGGAAAAUCGAGAGGAUUACAACAGGAAUAUAAAAGGUUGAGAGAGAGUUACGAAGGUUAUAGAGGGAAAGAGAGGGAAUACCCAUUAUGAUCAAACGAGGUCCAAACAAGGAUUUGACUUUUGACCCAAUCCUGAUCCCCAUAUUUCCCAUCUUAAACACACCCUUAAGGUUAAAGUGAUAAUUUUACACUAUGAUGAUAAGCACAAUGCCACUUUUAUUGGUGUAAAUUUUCCUUUUUUUUUUUUUUUUUUUUUUUGAAAAAUUGCAUAAAUUAACCCUUUAAAAAAAGGAAAAUUGUAAAAAA